UACGGAGGGGCUAGCGUUGUUCGGAAUUACUGGGCGUAAAGCGCACGUAGGCGGCUUUGUAAGUUAGAGGUGAAAGCCCGGGGCUCAACUCCGGAAUUGCCUUUAAGACUGCAUCGCUAGAAUUGUGGAGAGGUAAGUGGAAUUCCGAGUGUAGAGGUGAAAUUCGUAGAUAUUCGGAAGAACACCAGUGGCGAAGGCGAAUUACUGGACACAUAUUGACGCUGAGGUGCGAAAGCGUGGGGAGCAAACAGG
rnacentral:rRNA from 1 species